CAGGGGAUGCCGCAAUCGGGUCCCCGUGAAACUUGCUGACUCUCAGGAGAUUCGAUCCAUGAAC
rnacentral:sRNA from 1 species